UGGCUCUGCGCCUCUCUUCUUUUCCAUUCAAAAACUAAAACAAAGUUCAUCUUCUCCAACCUAAUCCCUGAUUUUCUUUUUUCUUCAUCAAUUGUUGUUAGCUCUUCUUCUUUCUACACCUAUAACCACAAAUGUUUUAGGGAUAAGCUCUUCUUUUUCCCCUCAAUCUCUUCUUGGUCUGAUUUUUUAUUGUGUGCUCACUAAGCUCUUCCUAUCACCAAACUCACGGCUAGAUUCACUUAUUUUCUUAUGGUUGGCAAAUUACAAGCUUCAUCGGACGAAAAGAUUGGUCAUCAUUGUCGCCGUCGCGGGUUCGUUGUCACCGUCGGCGUCCCGUCUGUCACCGUCGCCGUGGCUCUUUGUCGCCGUUAACCCUUGUCAAAAACCCUAAAAUUUUAAUGGGUUGAGCCUUGUGAAUUCGGGUUGGGCCUUGUAAAUUUUAUAAUUGGGUUUGUAAAUUUGUUAAUGUAUUUUGAUGGUGUAAUAAGUUUGGGCUUUGUUUUCAGCCUAUUUGUUUUUUUUUUUUGUAAUUCAAUUUAAAUUAACCGAAAUAGAAAACAUUUGGUUUAAUUUUGGAAUUAUUUUUAAGCCCUAUAACCAAACCGAAUAACCCGAGUACCGACCGACCCGAACCGAAUUUGGAUAGAUUUUUCAAAAACCGAAUUUCUCCAAAACCGAAUAGCCCGACCCGAAUAAACCGAUUUCUCCGAACUCCCAAGCCUACAGGAAAGCCUAGAAAUCCAAAUACUUAUAUUAUUAAAGAUUAGGUACCCAAUAUUCUUUAGAUACUUAAUUCCAUCAGUCUUUUUCUAUUUGGACCGUAAUAUAUAUGAUAUGUACAGUAGAAACUCUAUAAAUUAAUACUCGAUAAAUUAAUAAACA
rnacentral:sRNA from 1 species